GAUAACCAAGGUUUUACUGUAGUUGUCUGUUUGCGUGUGUGUUGGGGAACGCACAUGUCAAUUAGUGUCGGGCAGGACACUUUUACAUUACAAUUGGUUCGUGCUCAUGAUCACCACUAGAU